rnacentral:rRNA from 1 species
AAUUAUUAAGGGUGUAUGGUGGAUGCCUUGACGCAAAGCGGCGAUGAAGGACGUAGCGUAGCUGCGAUAAGCCUCGGUGAGGUGCCUAGCAACCUUUGACCCGGGGAUUUCCGAAUGGGGAAACCUAUUUGCGCAAAACGCAAAUGGCCUUGUCUAUAAAUGACGAGGCAGCUUACCCGCUGAAGUGAAACAUCUCAGUAAGCGGAGGAACAAAGAAAAAUUACGUCCACAUUUAACGAAAUUUGUGAAAUAGUGGACAGAUUCCCUGAGUAGCGGCGAGCGAAACGGGAAGAGCCUAAACCAGAUACUUAAUUUAUUAAGUGUUCGGGGUCGUAAGAUAAAAAUAUUCUUAAGUUUCUUGUCCCGUUAGAAAAAAUGCCGUUUUAAAGAAACGGAUUUCUAACGGGAUAAACUUGAAACUUAAGAUAAGAGUUACAAAUUUGCUCCGACGUANNNNNNNNNNNNNNNNNNNNNNNNNNNNNNNNNNNNNNNNNNNNNNNNNCUGGAAAGCAGCGCCAAAGAAAGUGAAAGCCUUGUAGACAAAAGUCGGCAAACUCUUAAAUUUUUACCCCGACGUAAAAGUCGGGGCUCCGACCUCGUAAGAGCGUCGGAGUUCUUGAGUACCUCGAGGCUAGACAACCUCGAGGGAAGCAAGGAGUACUAUCUCCUAAGGCUAAAUACGCUUUGCGAUCGAUAGUGAACAAGUACCGCGAGGGAAAGGUGAAAAGCAGGCCGGUGAGGCCGUUGAAAUAAAACCUGAAACCAUACACUCACAAGGACCAGGAGCGAUAUCGCUAUCGCUCAACGCUCCUAAUUUAGAAUGCAGAAUUAAGAAUGCAGAAUUAUAAAGCUUCGCUUUAAUUAAGAAUUAAGAAGGCAGAAUUAAGAAUUUAUUGUAAUUUUAAUUCUGAAUUCAUAAUUCUGAAUUAUUAAUUAGCGAGCGAAGCGAGCUUAAAGUUCUUAAUUCUAAAUUUAUAAUUUUGAAUUAGGCACGGUGAGCGGUAGCGAAGCGUGACUGGGUGCCUAUUGAAGAAUGAGCCAACGACUUUAUUUGCGCUGCUCGUUUAAGUCCGAUUAAUCGGACGAAGCAAAGGGAAACCAAGUCUGAAUAAGGCGAAAAAUAAAGCAGCGCGAUUAAGACCCGAAGCCAAGCGAGCUUAUCCUGGUCAGGAUGAAGGUCGAUGAAAAUCGACUGGAGGUCCGCACCGGUGAGCCGUUCAACACUCUCGGAUGAACUGGGAUAAGAAGUGAAAAGCUAAUCGAGCUUGGGAAUAGCUGGUUCUCUCCAAAAUAGUUUUAGGACUAGCGUCGGAUAAUAGAUUUCUGGGGGUAGAGCGCUGGAUGAAUUGUAAAGGGCGAAAGCCCGACAAAUCAAUCAAACUUCGAAUACUAGAAAUUGUUUUCCGGCAGUCAGACUACGGGGGCUAAGCUCCGUGGUCGAAAGGGAAACAGCCCUGACCGUCGUCUAAGGUCCCUAAAUAUUUGCUAAGUGUUAAAGAAAGUUUUCAACCAGAGACAAAUAGGAGGUUGGCUUAGAGGUAGCCAUCCUUUAAAGAGUGUGUAACAACUCACUAUCCGAUGGUUGGGGGCGUCUAAAAUUUAUCGGGGCUAAGCAAAUUACCGAAGACACGGAAUCGCGCGGCGAAGCCGACGCGAUAAUUUAGAAUUACAAAUUAAGAAUUCAGAAUUUUUAGAAUUAUUUAUUUAAUUCUUAAUUCUGCAUUCUAAAUUCUGAAUUAUCACGCGACUUCGUCGCGUGAUUGAUAGGAGAGCAUUUCCAGCGCAGCGAAGGUUGACCCGCGAGGGCAGCUGGAGCGCUGGGAAGAGAGAAUGUUGGCAUGAGUAAUCGCAAAGACGAUGAGAAAUCGUCUCCCCGCAAAUCCAAGGUUUCCUCCGCAACGAAAAUCGACGGAGGGUUAGGCGGCCCUAAGGCAAUGGCGAAAGCCGCAGCUAAAGGACAGUCGGUUAAUAUUCCGACCCGCCCAUUAAUUAUCGAUGGAGUAACAGAGAACAUAAAAUUGAGCGCCUUAAUGGUUUGGCGUUAUUGAUUUCAAGAAAUGUUCCGACCAGUAAAUCUGUUGGGACUGCCUUUAAUGGCGAAUUUCGGAAAUUGAUGAAAGUUUUGAUUUUUAUCAAUUCAAUUCGGUUGAAGAGUCUCUCAAGAAAACCUUCUAAGAGUUAUGUUAAUGGGCCCCGUACUAAAAACCGCCACAGGUGGAUGAGGCGAGUAGCCUCAGGGGAACGGGUAAUUCCUCGUUAAGGAACUCGGCAAAAAAGCAGACGUAAGUUCGCGAUAUGUCUUUCCCUCCCCAGUUUUGGUAAAGUAAUUAUUAUACAGAUGCAUUGCUUCGUGAGAGAAGAUUAAAAAAUCACGGCAGUGGUAAAAUUGAACUUUUCAAGCGGCUAAAAAAUAGCUUGCUUGAUACCAAAACUGGGGAGGGACGCAGCGAAAGAAUCCCUAGCGACUGUUUACCAAAAACACAGCUCCCUGCUAACUCGUAAGAGGAUGUAUAGGGGGUGACGCCUGACCGAUGCGAGAAGGUUAACGGCGGGAGUGUUAUCCGCAAGGGUAACGCCCACUGCCCGAAGCCCUCGUCAAUGUCCGCAGUAACUAUAACUGUGUUAAAGUAGCGCAAUUCCUUUUCAGGUAAGUUCUGAAGCGCACGAAUGGCGUAACGACUGGGGAACUGUCUCAAUGAGGAGCCCGAUGAAAAUGCGAUUCCCGUGAAGACGCGGGGUACUGGCAGUAAGACGAAAAGACCCCGGGAGCUUUACUGCAGCUUGAUAUUGAUUUUAGAACUUUAAUGCGUAGCGUAGUGGGCAGGCUUUGAAGUUUCGCUUUCGGGCGGAAUGGAGCCGACAAUGAAACACCCAUCUUUCGAGUUUUAAAGUCUAAUCUGAACGGCAAAAACGUUCGGAAACAGUGUCUGGUGGGCAGUUUCAAUGGGGCGUUGUCCUCCUAAAAAGUAACGGAGGAGUCUAUUAAGGUCGACUUAGCCCGGAUGGAAAUCGGGCUGGACGUGCAAAGGCACAAGUCGGCUUAACGGCAAGGCUGACAAGCCGCGCCGAUGCGAAAGCAGAGCUUAGCGACCCGACGACACUUUAUAGAAAGGUCGGAGAUACCGGAUAAAAGCUACCCC